UUUGAAAUCUGGCGUCUUUGGCGUCCGAGUUGUAAUUUGAAGAAGGUAUCUUUGGGCCCGGCUCUUGUCUAUGUUCCUUGGAACAGGACGUCACAGAGGGUGAGAAUCCCGUGCGAUGAGAUGACCCGGGUCUGUGUAAAGUUCCUUCGACGAGUCGAGUUGUUUGGGAAUGCAGCUCUAAGUGGGUGGUAAAUUCCAUCUAAAGCUAAAUAUUGGCGAGAGACCGAUAGCGAACAAGUACAGUGAUGGAAAGAUGAAAAGAACUUUGAAAAGAGAGUGAAAAAGUACGUGAAAUUGUUGAAAGGGAAGGGCUUGAGAUCAGACUUGGUAUUUUGCAUGCUGCUCUCUCGGGGGCGGCCGCUGCGGUUUACCGGGCCAGCAUCGGUUUGGAGCGGCAGGAUAAUGGCGGAGGAAUGUGGCACGGCUUCUGGUGUGUGUUAUAGCCUCUGACGAUGCUGCCAGCCUAGACCGAGGACUGCGGUUUUUAACCUAGGAUGUUGGCAUAAUGAUCUUAAGUCGCCCGUCUUGAAACACGGACCAAGGAGUCUAACGUCUAUGCGAGUGUUUGGGUGUAAAACCCGUACGCGUAAUGAAAGUGAACGAAGGUGGGGGCCCAUUAGGGUGCACCAUCGACCGAUCCUGAUGUGUUCGGAUGGAUUUGAGUAAGAGCAUAGCUGUUGGGACCCGAAAGAUGGUGAACUAUGCCUGAAUAGGGUGAAGCCAGAGGAAACUCUGGUGGAGGCUCGUAGCGGUUCUGACGU
rnacentral:rRNA from 1 species